GAUGAACGCUGGCGGCGUGGAUAAGGCAUGCAAGUCAAACGGUCCCCGUAAGGGGGCAGUGGCAGACGAGGUAGUAAUAAAUAGGUACCAACCCUAAAGUCAGGAAUACCUCAUCGAAAGAUGAGUUAAUACUUGAUGGUCUCGAAAGAGUAAAGAUUUAUCGCUUUAGGAUGGGCCUAUUCAGUAUCAGCUAGUUGGUAGGGUAAUGGCCUACCAAGGCUUAGACGCUUAGGGGACCUGAGAGGAUGAUCAGCCACACUGGGACUGAGACACGGCCCAGACUCCUACGGGAGGCAGCAGUGGGGAAUAUUGGACAAUGGGCGGAAGCCUGAUCCAGCCAUGCCGCGUGAGUGAUGAAGGCCUUCGGGUUGUAAAGCUCUUUCGCACGCGACGAUGAUGACGGUAGCGUGAGAAGAAGCCCCGGCUAACUCCGUGCCAGCCGCCGCCGUAA
rnacentral:rRNA from 1 species